rnacentral:lncRNA from 1 species
GUAUAUUAACUGUUGUUUUGACUGCCUGGAUAUUUCCUUGAAUACCCUUUAAAAAAAAAAAAAAAAUAAAAAAAAAAAAAAUAUAUAUAUAUAUAUAUAUAUAUAUAUAUAUAUAUAUAUAUAUAUAUAUAUAUAUAUAUAUAUAUACCCAUAAGUGUAAGACCUUAUAUAUAUAUAUAUAUAUAUAUAUAUAUAUAUAUAUAUAUAUAUAUAUAUAUAUAUAUAUAUAUAUAUAUAUAUAUAUAUAUAUAUAUAUUUGGCCUACUGGUCCAACUGGAAAGCCGGAACGCUUUCCCGGUCGCACAGCACAUGGUACAAAUUAGCCUACGUCGCGCAUACGUCACAUCUGCCCAGCGCUUGCAGGUGCAUAAGAUUGGUUUUUAUCAUUGACGGGAUUUGGACGAGCUAAGACGAUAAUCUGGCAGUGCACCAUUUGUAGGCCUAGGAUUGUUGUUUAAUCAAAAUAUCCUUCGAGAUCUUCGUCUGACAUCUAUAAAUAAAUGAUAAAGUUGACAACUGUCAAUCAUGCUAUGCGGUAGACCUAUCGAUUUGCAUUCAAGACUUCUCAUUCUGUUGGUCUGUUGGGUUUCAACGUCACUUAUCCCGAUGUCAGACGCUUCUGGAGUGAGAAUUGAAACAACUGUUGGAGAGGAAAACCAAUUAAAGAGAGAGACGCAGCGCUUUCUACACCAUGCCUACAUUCCUGGUCGCCAGCAACGCUUUCCAGUUGGACCACCACCCAGCCAGCAAUCGGGACAACAACUCCUUCCAGAUACCACCACCAGCAGCGGCACCAACGAGCCACCUCAUCCCAACAUAGUCAUGGUCCGUGCGUCGAAGCUCAAGAGACCCGUGAAACGCAACCCUCCCAAUGCAGUGCCACAUGACUUGGUGCACCCCCAAGUUGGUACUGGUAGUAGUACAAGAAAGGGCCGUUAUUUGCAGCCUAGAAUCUUCAGAGGAGUCUGGGGCCACCGUCUUGGUACAGAGGAGUCUGCUAGAAGCUCAAACCAUGGGCGCUUCAAUCCGAGGCGUUCAACGCUUGAGCAGAAGCAAACCAGAGCUAAUCAGGCCUCUGUCGCUCUCCCGAGCUCCUCCAGUCACCGUAGCCCAGAGCCCCGUGGGUUCAGAAAGAGUCAAACUCAUCAGAAGAGUUCUGAUGAGACAAACACUUCUGUGCACAAGCUGGGGCAAUCUGGUGGUGUCCUAUCAAAUGGUGGUGAAGAAACCUGGCAAAAAGAAGGCCUGUCGGAAACCCAACGUUUCCCUCCAAGAUUUCUUCUUCCAUUGGCUGGAAAACCGAACGUCGUCCUGGAUUCUGCCGACGAAAAUUACGUUCAUCCAAGCACACAAGACAGAACCAUCCCCUGGUCACAUCGCCUCUCUUCUCAAGCACCUCCUCAUGACUUCAGUCCAGUCCUUUCUUCCAGAAGUGGUGCCCUUUGGAAGUCUGAAUGGCCUCAAAGUAAUGAAAAGGCCUCAAUGAGUGAUGGCCUUAGUUCCUUUGGUAAUAAAUCCGGCAAGCUCACCGCAACCAUGCUAGAUAAUCAGGCCCUGUUCAUCACACAAGUGUCUAAGCCUGCAGUGAAAGGGCCUAAUGAGGGGCCAAAGGCUUUAAAGGUGGGCAAGUGGUAUCUAUUCAACUCCUACAAAACCUCUGGCAAACGGGAGGUGGCUGGUGUUUCCGGUGCCAGGCAACACUCUGGACAAAGUCUUUCUCCUUCAGCAAGGAGUCAAAACAUGUCUCCUUCACUUAAAAUGUCUGUGCGGCAGCCAUCCUCUCACAGGCAGGAUCAGCUAUCAGAACAAGAAGCAGCCAGCAGUGAUGUUCAUCCUUCUUUUGGCAAGGCUAUACCACUUGGCACACAAAGUGGAAGAUCCAUGGCUCAUUUCAACAUAAAAGAUCAACAUAAAGGCUUUAAGGAACCCAGCCGGCUUAAGUCUCAGGAAUCGGUUAUGGAAGUCUAUAAGAGACUUCUUGCUAUCCCCUAUGGCGGUUUGAGCAAAAAGACAAAACUUAAGAGCUCCAGCUAUGAUAAAACCACAAACCCACGAACUGAAAAGGCUCAUGACUACACCCCUGUGUCUCAGAAGUAUGGAUUCAGUCAGAGGGCUGAGGUUGUUUACACCACCAUGACCCCACUAGAAGCUGAGCGGGGCCCCAAAAAACACAGUGUUCAGUCAGGGUCCAUCAUUCUUCUACCUCCCAGAGAUAUCUUUCGGUCCGACAGUGUAAUUUCCCGAAAAUCCAAGCUAUCUGCUAAUGAUGUGCCAUCACAGCAGGAGAAAUACAAGGUUUUACAACCCUCAAGUGUUCCACUGAAACUAAAUAUGGCUAAAAGUGAAUCCAAACCAGGAUUUAGAGGUCUUCAGCCUCUAAUCCCCGACAUGGGCUACAAACCAUAUCUGUCCGGAUACACGAGUAACAGUGGAAAAUAUCCUUUUGGAGGAAUGCCUGGCCUUAAUUUCCGCACUUCCACCUCAGGGCCGCUAGAGGGCGCCGACGCUUCAGAUACAAACACUUCUGAAAAUGACAUAAUAAAACCAGACAAGAAUAAGAUCUUCUCUUUUAAAGCAAUAACAAGGGAGAUGACUCCAAGGCUCAGUGAUGGUUAUCAUCAGGUGGGAUCAGCUGCCUACAGGAUUGGUACCAAAACAAGCCACGCUGAAGCGAUUGUGGAACCGGGUGUGAUCCGGUCUAUACCCGAUGGUCCUCGAAGCCCAAUCCGUUAUGGACGUUUACCCAGCCAAGUGUCGUCUUUCCCUGGGCCCUUUGAAGGUGAAGUGAGCAGUGAUGUCGGAGCACAAUUCACAAAAUUAAAACGUAAAUUGACUCCAGUUGAUGCAACAAAGGGAAAAUCCUACAGUGACCCUAGGAGGCCCCACUCCCCAAUCUCGGCAUUUGACCCGACCAACACGAUCAAGAGAAAACAUCGUCCCACAGGCUCUUCCCCGUACGCCAGAUGGAAAACAGAACGCGCAUCCAUCAUCACCCGGGUUCCCCAGCCCAGGACCGGGCGGGCCCCCCCGGCCGUACCCCUUAAUUACAACUUCCUUAACAGGCCCUCCAGGCCCAUGGUGCAGGGCCGGCGCAGCAAGGUCAAUGGGGUCAGAGUCGAGUCCCCAUCUCCCGGGACCUCGGCCAGCGACAGCGGCCUGCCAACGGAGUGGGCGUCAAAGAUGGCCGGCGCCUUUUUUAACGUUACAUUUUCCGACAUCCUUGGAAGCGCUCACCACACGAGCGAAAUGGGCAGCCCAGCUGAGGACGGGAAGAGUAGCGGUCGUCCCCGGCCCACAGGUAACCCUUCCAGUUGGGGCCGGUCUAGUCCUGGGGAGGGCAGUUCCUCUCCUCGAAUCGAUUCCAGGCCGGCACCCAAGCGGCGUAGGGUAAAGGGAUACAGUGAGCAAGCAGUCCAAGGAGGCGAGGGCUUCUGGUUCGUCCCUGUCAGGGGGGGCGACGGGUUGCCAGUGGAGAGGCCACGUCUCUCAAACCAGGCCCACCAGGUCAGCCAGGAGUCGCCAAACAGCCUGUCCAGACCGAGCCCGAAGGCCGAAUGGAGUUACCUUAAGACUUCAGCUGUUGACGGCUCAGUCAGAAAAAGUGCCUCAUUCAGAUAACCAUACACAAACGUGAUGUUCGGUACUAAAGUACUUGGAGGACUGGUGUGCUUUGGUUAAAUUAUGUUUUGGAAUUGUAAUAAAGAGUUGAUCAAAUGUGUGUUCCAAAAUUGGCCUGGAGUUUUUAUUGAAAAUGUCUAAAAAGGAGGGGAUUGUAUACACAAAGGUCUUGGUUAACCUGCUUUAAAAAUCACAUGGUACGGGUAAAUGCAAAUGUUGUUCAUUUAUUUUUAGCUUGGGUUCAACAUGCUGGACUGUUAAACUAAUUUCACACUAAAAAUAAAUUCCUACAAAUGAUAAAUUCCUACGUUAAUAAGCGCCACUGCAUGUCCAAUCCGGCUUAUCUGUUUGAUUAGCAGUGCUGACAAACCAGCUAUUGUGGGAAAGCAGAGGUCAAACAUUAACUUCCCGAUCCCAACUCCCGCCUUCUAAAUGUUUCAACGUCCGUGUAUGAGAAGUCUGGCAUGUUUAGUUUUAGCCAAACUGGGAACGCUUGAAAGGACAUACCACAGAGUUUUUUUUUUUAAUGUUAAGAUGCUUUCCUCAUUUGUAGUUCCCACAGCCAGGGUGAUGGUAUCCACUCUGCUGACUGAGACUUUCCAUCCCCCGCAGAGAGCUUACGGAGACAGUUUCGGCAUGCUGGUCUGGGUCAACACAUCAUCAAAUGGAAAUUUAAUUUGAUUAACUUAAGGGAAGACUCUUUUAAUGCAAAGACGCCAACAGAAGAAGGCUUUAAGGAAAGAGGCAUGAGGUGGUUUGCAGCUGUCAACUCUGAACUAUUAAACGGUUUGAAAUGUACAUUACGUUUAAAUUGAAAUUGAGAUAGAAGCAUUGACGAUCUGACCAUGAUCUUUGUGCGUUUAUCUUGGAAAUGUCUUCAUAGUUCAGUUCCAUUUCCUUGGGUUGAUUCAACAAAUAUAGUCCUGUUCAUGGAUACUCUAUUGAGCCACAAAUUAUUUAUAUUAUUUAGAUAAAUUUAGACAAAUAGAGUUUUAUGUUUCUCAAACUUUGGUCCCCUUUGAGCAAUACAUAUUUUCCAUCUUCCAGAGUACUGCUGCUCCUUUUGUAGAUUUGUCCUUUUAUGAGUGAAUCUGCAGAAUCAUUCAGGUUGUGCCUUUCAAACUCAUCAUUCAUAUUCCUCAUUUAAACUGAUCCCACUACUUUCUAUAUGUAUAUAUAAAAAAAAACGAUGACGUGAGACAUUAAAUUAGUUUAUAAGUAGCCACUUUGAUUACCCAUAUAAAUUAAAUGCAUGAAUUUAUCAUCAUCUCUAAAAUGUCUACACAUUGGGAAAACCAUAAUAGCCUAGCAGGCUUGUCAAUCGUUUAGAUUUUACUGUCUUUUUGCUUUUCCCGUCUGUGCUGGAAUGUUUUGGGAACUGUCACGAUCCGUUAUUUUAAGAUCCUCUUGGCGAGAAGAUGAUGCCUCUCAAGGGGAUUCUGGAUAACUUCCAUGCAUCUAAAUUCCUUCAGCCUAGGGUUGUAGGUGCGGGUUGCUCCCCUAGAUGGCGGUAGCCCUCUGUCCCAUGACGCUAUUCCUUCUCAUAGUUGUACUUUGGCCUCGUGCGGCUCAUUUGGUUCAACUGUGCAACAGGAAAUGCAAAUGAAAACGAAGCAGAU